CCUACGGGAGGCUGCAGUAGGGAAUCUUCCGCAAUGGACGCAAGUCUGACGGAGCAACGCCGCGUGAGUGAAGAAGGAUUUCGGUUCGUAAAACUCUGUUGUUAGAGAAGAACAGCGCAUAGAGUAACUGUUAUGCGUGUGACGGUAUCUAACCAGAAAGCCACGGCUAACUACGUGCCAGCAGCCGCGGUAAUACGUAGGUGGCAAGCGUUGUCCGGAUUUAUUGGGCGUAAAGCGAGCGCAGGCGGUCAAUUAAGUCUGAUGUGAAAGCCCCCGGCUCAACCGGGGAGGGUCAUUGGAAACUGGUUGACUUGAGCGCAGAAGAGGAGAGUGGAAUUCCAUGUGUAGCGGUGAAAUGCGUAGAUAUAUGGAGGAACACCAGUGGCGAAGGCGACUCUCUGGUCUGUAACUGACGCUGAGGCUCGAAAGCGUGGGUAGCAAACAGGAUUAGAUACCCGUGUAGUC
rnacentral:rRNA from 1 species